rnacentral:rRNA from 1 species
GAUGAACGCUGGCUACAGGCUUAACACAUGCAAGUCGAGGGGAAACGGCAUUGGGUGCUUGCACCGAAUGGACGUCGACCGGCGCACGGGUGAGUAACGCGUAUCCAACCUUCCCGUUACUGCGGGAUAACCUGCCGAAAGGCAGACUAAUACCGCAUGUUCUUCGAUGACGGCAUCAGAUUCGAAGCAAAGAUCCGUCGGUAACGGAGGGGGAUGCGUCUGAUUAGCUUGUUGGCGGGGCGACGGCCCACCAAGGCGACGAUCAGUAGGGGUUCUGAGAGGAAGGUCCCCCACAUUGGAACUGAGACACGGUCCAAACUCCUACGGGAGGUAGCAGUGAGGAAUAUUGGUCAAUGGGCGAGAGCCUGAACCAGCCAAGUAGCGUGCAGGAUGACGGCCCUAUGGGUUGUAAACUGCUUUUAUGCGGGGAUAAAGUGAGGGACGUGUCCUUCAUUGCAGGUACCGCAUGAAUAAGGACCGGCUAAUUCCGUGCCAGCAGCCGCGGUAAUACGGAAGGUCCGGGCGUUAUCCGGAUUUAUUGGGUUUAAAGGGAGCGUAGGCCGUGGAUUAAGCGUGUUGUGAAAUGCAGGUGCUCAACGUCUGCACUGCAGCGCGAACUGGUUCACUUGAGUGUGCGCAACGCAGGCGGAAUUCGUCGUGUAGCGGUGAAAUGCUUAGAUAUGACGAAGAACUCCGAUUGCGAAGGCAGCUUGCGGGAGCACAACUGACGCUGAAGCUCGAAAGUGCGGGUAUCGAACAGG